AUGAUCCGUCAUCUGAGUGGACCAGCCAACAUCGUCGUGCGACAAUUCCAUCUUGAAGGCGUUGUCUUGGAGUGUUGCACCAUUUUCGGCCCAGAUGUUGCUCAACUAGUGAUUUGGUUCACCGGAUUUUGUCAUAGGAUUUUGGAGAUGUUGUCGCGAGGCAUGCCCUAUGUGGAUGAUCUUGGUUUUUCUUUAUUAAGACAAUUUAUUCAGCAUCAAUGCUUGACAUUGUUUUCAAUUAUAAAUAAUAUAUGGAUAUGUGCAUCAAUCGAUGUAGAGGUGAGGGGUUUAUCUUCCUCUUCAAUAAUAAAUGAUUGUUAUCUUCCUUCUGAAAAAGAAAUUACUUUUAUAGGGAGACCAUAA
rnacentral:rRNA from 1 species